GACGAACGCUGGCGGCGUGCUUAACACAUGCAAGUCGAACGGAAAGGCCCUGCUUUUGUGGGGUGCUCGAGUGGCGAAAGGGUGAGUAACACGUGAGUAACCUGCCCUUGACUUUGGGAUAACUUCAGGAAACUGGGGCUAAUACCGGAUAGGAGCUCCUGCUGCAUGGUGGGGGUUGGAAAGUUUCGGCGGUUGGGGAUGGACUCGCGGCUUAUCAGCUUGUUGGUGGGGUAGUGGCUUACCAAGGCUUUGACGGGUAGCCGGCCUGAGAGGGUGACCGGCCACAUUGGGACUGAGAUACGGCCCAGACUCCUACGGGAGGCAGCAGUGGGAAAUAUUGCGCAAUGGGCGGAAGCCUGAUGCAGCAACGCCGCGUGCUGGAUGACGGCCUUCGGGUUGUAAACCGCUUUCGCCUGUGACGAAGCGUGAGUGACGGUAAUGGGUAAAGAAGCACCGGCUAACUACGUG
rnacentral:rRNA from 1 species